rnacentral:rRNA from 1 species
UACGUAGGUGGCAAGCGUUGUCCGGAAUUAUUGGGCGUAAAGCGCGCGCAGGUGGUUUCUUAAGUCUGCUGUGAAAGCCCACGGCUCAACCGUGGAGGGUCAUUGGAAACUGGGGAACUUGAGUGCAGAAGAGGAAAGUGGAAUUCCAAGUGUAGCGGUGAAAUGCGUAGAGAUUUGGAGGAACACCAAUGGCGAAGGCGACUUUCUGGUCUGUAACUGACACUGAGGCGCGAAAGCGUGGGGAGCGAACAGG